GCGGGGGUUGUUGAGCCCGGUCAAAAACGUGGGACUUAAGAUCCCAUCCCUUUGGGGUUCGUGGGUUCAAAUCCCACCCCCCGCA
rnacentral:tRNA from 1 species